GUCCAUAGGGAUAAUUGAUAAGUCAAGAGUUUACUAUACUUUAUCCUUCUCUAAGAUAUUCACAAGCACAUUAGCAUAUUAAUACCUUGAGAAGUAUCACACCAAAGAGAACUUUUUAAUUCGUACAAACUUUUAUCAAAAUUGAUCAAAACACCCUUCUAUUCUCUACAUAAUCUCUAAUAAUGUAACGUAAAACAUAAAAAAGCUCAUAGUCUAUCCUUCCCUUCAGUUUUUCCCUAGAUACUGCUCAGGCCACAAUAAAUCGGCCACAUUUUGUUUCCCAUCUUUACAUUUUAGAAAAUGAAAGACAAUGAGAUACACCACAGAAUGAGUUACCUUAUAAAGAUUUGGGGCUUUAAAAUUAUAUUUUAACAAAUAAAUAUACCAACAAAUGAAUAGGGAGGAAGAUCAGGCUCUUCUAUAAAGCAGAAUGUCAGCUAGUAAAUGCAAUUAAUUCAGCAGGAGCUCAAGGCCAGCCUAGACAACAUGGCAAAACCCCAUCUCUACCAAAAAUACAAAAAAAUUAGCCAGGCGUGGUGGUGCAGGCCUGUGGUCCCAGCUACUUGGUAAGCUGAGGUGGGAGGAUUACUUGAGUCCAGAUCUCUCCAUCCAGGCUUGUUGGCAGCAGUCAAAACAGGCUACCAGGUCUCACGACUCACCCUCCCAAAUCCCUAUUUAACAAUACUCCUAAAUAUGAUUCACGUUCAAGGGCACCUUCCAAAGGUUUCUGAAUGAUUCCCUGGCCACUACCAGAUACAGCCCCAAUA
rnacentral:lncRNA from 1 species